rnacentral:rRNA from 1 species
UACGGAGGUGGCAAGCGUUACUCGGAAUUAUUGGGUGUAAAGGGCAAGUAGGUGGCUUUGUAAGUGAGAGGUGAAAUCCUGGGGCUCAACCCUGGAACUGCAUUGGAUACUUCCUUGCUAGAGUACUGGAGAGGAAACUGGAAUUUACGGUGUAGCAGUGAAAUGCGUAGAGAUCGUAAGGAAGACCAGUGGCGAAGGCGAGUUUCUGGACAGUUACUGACGCUGAGGCACGAAGGCCAGGGGAGCAAACGGG